GUGGCCAGAGCCCAAGGAGCAAGAGGGAGAUAAGAGGGCGGGAAGGAGGCGCUGGACCAAGGAGGGCCCUCGGCUAUUUUAGGAAUUAAAAAAAGAGACCCAGCGAUCCCUAGAGAAUUUUGAGCUGAUAAAUGUCAGAAUCUGACUUGUAGUUGAAAAGGCUCAGGGCUGGCUGCUUUUUGACGGUGCAACUGAGGGUCCAAAAGCGGAAAGAGGGGCCUGGUUAGGAGGUUACUGAGCAGUGCAGGAGAGGGUCUCCAAAGGCUUCGCUUCGACCCAGCAGUGGUGGGGGCUGGGGUGCAGGGGUGCGAAGACGCAUUGGAGGCAGAGCAGAUAGAAGUCACUCUGCACAGGCUGCAAGCAGAGGAGGAAGAAACAGAACAGUUAAGGUCAACUUCAAGGCCUUCGCCUUGAGAACUGGAGGAAGUUAACAUUUCCUGGAAUAGAAAGAUCCCAAGAAGGCAAGUUUUAGGUCAUCUCUUUUAAUCUAAUGCUCUGCCUCUCUCUGUGUGUGUGUCUCCACUUGUAAUUUAUCACUUACCUGUUGAAAAACUAGUUUGUACGAUCUACUUCCUUUUCCAUAGCAUGGAUUUUGCUAAGUCCGGGAGGUGUUGGAACAAAUGGCCCUCACACUCAGGGCUGCAGAUCAUUGGAGCAUCAGACCAGAGGACAAAGGAUGGACCAUAGCAUAGCAUCUCAUGAUUUGCAGAUACAGCCUACGGCAGUGGGCUGCAACCCAGAGAAAUAUUCAUUUCCAGAGACUCCAUGGACCAGAUAGGCAUCAUCACCAACAGCUCCGAGUAUUUGAGCUGUAUGUCUCCUACUAAUGCAAGAUGUGAGGCUGUUGAACACCCCAGGUGGACAUGGUUCGACUGAAGGAACUUGGCUCCUCCCACCGCUGAUAGAAAGUGGGUCUCUUCAAGAUCUGCCAUGGUUUCAGCUUUGGGACAACACUUGGCUCAGUCUACAAAGGCAGGAACCAGAUGUCUUCAUGAACUGCCAGGAGGUACCAUCACGGGAGUAAAAGAUGAGGAAAAAGCAAGGAGAAGCUUCCUGUGUAUGGCUUGCUACCAAGAGAGGUCCAUUUGCAGAGUACCCAGCAGAGGAAAGGCUCGAUGUGGAAAAUUGUGGAUUUUAAAUAGUUUUAUGUGUGGUGUUGAUGGUGUCCAGUUUUCUUGGCACUAUUUAUAGAGGGGACUGUCCUUUCUCCAUUUUGUGUUCUUGGCACCUUUGUUGUGAAUUAACUGACAACAUACAGAUGGGUUUGCUUCUGUGCUCUCUAUUCUGUUUCUCUUGCCCAUGUACCUGGUUUUGUGCCAGUGCCACACAGUUUCGGUUACUGUAGCUUCAUACUGUAGUGUGAAGUUACAGAGGAAGAUGCUGCCAGCUGUGUUCUUCCUCAGGUAGCUUAGGCUAUUCAGGCUAUUAUUAUGUAACUAUUUUUGGAGAUGUCAUGGAAUAUUUGGCUCCAUUUCAGUUUGAAUUUCCAAAUUUAGUGGUUCCUGCAGGCUUGUCAGCUGGGAGCGUGGGCUCUACCCAUCUGAGGUUGUGGCCUGCACUUCCCAACUGGCCAGCAGGUGGCGUCAGGCUUCUUUGCUAUUCUAUACAUGUGGUAGGACUGUUCUGUUUCUGUGAACUAUGCCGUUAGAAUAUUGAAGGGAUUACAUUGAAUGCAUAUACUGCUUUUGUUGCUGAAUUAAGUUGUAUGUACCCGCCCUUGGGGGUCCUGUAACAAAUUUGGGUGAGCCAGCCAGGAGGGCAGUCUUAGAUCCACCAUUCUGCCCAGUAAUUCAGCUAGGACUCUUGCUUGCUGACCUAGGGCUGACAAAACAAGCUAAAUAGCUGGGUAGUUUGCCUCAAUCCUUGACCUAUGAGGUCAAUGAGGGCUACUGAAUUCAGUUGGAGAUCAGAAAGCAGCCAAGGGUUAGGUGGAGUGCUCUCCGCAUCCUGGCAUAUCUACAACAAGGAAGCUUAUUACAGAUUGGGGUAGUGUCCAGGGGAUGAUUGGCAUAGGGGGAACUGACCCCAAUUUGGCUCAUCUGGCUGAGGUUGGUUGUAGAGGUUGGCUGGUUAAGGGCAAGGAUCCUGGCCUGGUUGGACUCUGGUCUAGAGGACUGAACUGGGUGACUUGUCUAAAUAUAGCUGAUCCUCUGCUAGUGGAUGUGACUGAAUAAUAACAAUUGGUUGUCUGGUUGGACCAGUUCCUGGCAAGGGGACUAGGCUGGAUGAGAAGCCCUUGGAAGGUCACCAAGUGGUAUGAACAUAUCUUUGUUUUCCAUGUAUGUUGUAAGUUCUAGCUUCUGUUCCUUUUUUUUUGGCCACCCCAUGGUAUAUAGAGUUCCUUGGCCAGGGACCAGAUCUGAGCCACAGUUGUGACCUAAGCUGAAGCUGCAGGAACAGUGGAUUCUUAACACACUGCACCAGGCCAGUAAUCUAACCUGUGUCCCAGCCAGCAGAGGGACCAGAGUGGGAACUCUCCUGUUCUUGGUAUGAUUGAAGCUUCAAUCUCUGUUCUAUGUGGUCUUGUCUGUCCUAUUGCUCUUCGAAGUCUUUGCUGCACAUGUGGGUGCAAGUCAAGCACCUAAAAGCCACUAGGACACUGGAAGACUGCCACGAAAGGAGAAGUCAGUCACAGACCAGGGUAUGUGAGCACUAGGCACCCUGCCGACUGGAAGGAAGUGUCUGUGUAAGGAAGCACACUGUGAAAUGCUCACAGCUCCCCAAACCCCUGCUGCAGUCUCACCUUUAGGAUACAGUCAAAAAAAUCCAAGAGCACAUCCUUUGUGUUGUUCUGUGUUACCUCCAUUUGCCAUUCCAGGGCAGGGUAUGUGUCUCUCUUGGGUAGGGCUCUCCCAACUCCCCUCCAUUGCAGAUCCCUGAAAGAUUCCCUCCUUAGAUAUGAAACCUUUAAAGAUACUGUUUUUUGCCAGAUUUCAGGAACAUUACUUUGAUUGGUGGGGAAAGAAGAGAACACCCAAAUCAGCCAGAGUCCUUGGGUCCCUGUAGCUGAGUGUAUAGAUAACUGGAUACAUGCCAAAUGGGCAUUUGGCUUCUCUGCCUGAUUACCUACAACCAUAUGGGACAAGCCCUGUUUAAACAAGUCUCGACUGCCACAGACGCUCUCCCGGCAUUUGUUUGGCCAGAGAACCCUGUUUCCCACCCCCUCCUUCACCCUACCUCCAGGGACUGCACCCCCUUAUACUAGGUAUCUCCAAAGCCCCACAGUGGGUCUGGGAACAUCUAAUCAGUGACUUAAGAGGGGACCUUAUAACUCGGACCCUCUUAGCAUUUCCCCUCACAGCCCCCAUAAAGAUUGGUUCAUGUUUCAGUGAGGGUGCCUAGACCACUUGGUGUGUCCUAGAUCUUAUGGGAUCUGCAUCACAACCAACCCUAGGAGGAGGCCAUUGGGAAGCUGGAAACAAACUAAAAAUACCCCAUAGGGGUAACCAAGCCUCUGUCCCAGGAUGCAUCCUCCAUAACUGGAAAUAACGACUCACUAACAAACAGCUUCUUCUCUUUUACAGCACCCCUAUGAACAGUUAUAUGGCAACAAAUUUGACAACCUAGAAGAAGAGGACAACUUUCUAGAGAUGUACAGCCCACAAAAACUGAAUCAA